CGAACGGGUGAGUAACAUAUCGGAACGUGCCCAGUAAUGGGGGAUAGCCCGGCGAAAGCCGGAUUAAUACCGCAUACGACCUACGGGUGAAAGCGGGGGACCUGCAAGGGCCUCGCGUUAUUGGAGCGGCCGAUAUCAGAUUAGCUAGUUGGUGGGGUAAAGGCCUACCAAGGCGACGAUCUGUAGCUGGUCUGAGAGGACGACCAGCCACACUGGGACUGAGACACGGCCCAG
rnacentral:rRNA from 1 species